AACGAACGCUGGCGGCAUGCCUAACACAUGCAAGUCGAACGAGACCUUCGGGUCUAGUGGCGCACGGGUGCGUAACGCGUGGGAACCUGCCCUUAGGUUCGGAAUAACUCCCCGAAAGGGGUGCUAAUACCGGAUAAUGUCUUCGGACCAAAGAUUUAUCGCCUUUGGAUGGGCCCGCGUUGGAUUAGCUAGUUGGUAGGGUAAAAGCCUACCAAGGCGACGAUCCAUAGCUGGUCUGAGAGGAUGAUCAGCCACACUGGGACUGAGACACGGCCCAGACUCCUACGGGAGGCAGCAGUGGGGAAUAUUGGACAGUGGGCGAAGGCCUGAUCCAGCAAUGCCGGGUGAGUGAUGAAGGCCUUAGGGUUGUAAAGCUCUUUUACACGGGAUGAUAAUGACAGUACCGGGAGAAUAAGCGCCGGCUAACUCCGUG
rnacentral:rRNA from 1 species